AUUUGGAGAGGAUGCUUCUGGUGCGGCGCCGUCCGAGUUCCUUGGAACAGGACGCCAUAGAGGGUGAGAGCCCCGUACGGACGGACGCCUAACCUAUACGAAGCUCCUUCGACGAGUCGAGUAGUUUGGGAAUGCUGCUCAAAAUGGGAGGUAAAUUUCUUCUAAAGCUAAAUACCGGCCAGAGACCGAUAGCGCACAAGUAGAGUGAUCGAAAGAUGAAAAGCACUUUGAAAAGAGGGUUAAAAAGUACGUGAAAUUGUUGAAAGGGAAGCGCCUGUGACCAGACUUGCGCCCCGCGGACCAUCCGGCGUUCUCGCCGGUGCACUCCGCGGGGUGCAGGCCAGCAUCGGUUUUCCUAGGGGGAUAAAGGUCGCGGGAACGUAGCUCUUUCGGGAGUGUUAUAGCCCGUGGCGGCAUGCCCCUGGGGAGACCGAGGACCGCGCUUCGGCAAGGAUGCUGGCGUAAUGGUCACCAGCGACCCGUCUUGAAACACGGACCAAGGAGUCAAGCAUUGGGGCGAGUGUAUGGGUGUUAAACCCGCACGCGAAAUGAAAGUAAACGCAGGUGAGAGCUUCGGCGCAUCAUCGACCGAUCCUGAUGUCUUCGGAUGGAUUUGAGUAAGAGCCUUACCGCUUGGACCCGAAAGAUGGUGAACUAUGCCUGAAUAGGGUGAAGCCAGAGGAAACU
rnacentral:rRNA from 2 species